AGCCCUGAGGUGUUUAACAUGUCAGAUUGCAAAUCUGAAGAAGCAGGCUGACGCCUGCCAGGGCUU
rnacentral:tRNA from 1 species